CUGACAUCCAGGACCUACAGUAUAUACUAGGCUGUGUCAGAGGAAGGCCCCAAAAAUGGUCAAAGAAUCCAGAAACCGAAGUCAUAGACUGUUCUCUCGGCAAGCGACACCGGAGCGCAAAGUCUUGGACCAAAAGGCUCCUUAACAGCUUCUACCCCCAAGCCAUAAGACCGUCGAACAGUUAAUCAUAUGGCAACCCGGACUAUUUAAAUUUACCCCCAACCCCCACUGCCUCCUACACCUUUGUUUUUAUACUGCUGCUACUUUCUGUUUAUUAUCUAUGCAUAGUCACUUUACAAAUGACCUCGACUAACCUGUGGUGGUGGCGGUUAAGGUUUUGGCAUGGGAGGGGGUGGUGGUGGUGGCUUUCAAGCACAUCUGUGAUAAGCAAUGGUGUUCAAAUUCCUAAUGAAGACAGGGCAGGUCACAUUGUUACCAUCAGGCAGUGGUCAGUCACGUCUUAAUCCUUUAAACUCACCUCUAUGUGUUUCUCCACAGGAGCUGCUGGCCAUGAGGAUGGAGAUGACUGGACAGAUCAACGUGGAGGUGGAUGCAGCACCACAGGAGGACCUGUCCAGAGUCAUGUCUGAGAUCCAAUACGAGUCCAGCGUGACCUGGAGUCCUGGUUCCAGACCACGACAGAGACGUUGAACCAGGAGGUGGCGUCCAGCACAGAGGUUCUCCAGACCUCCAAGUCAGAGAUCUCGGAGAUCCGUCGCACACUGCAGGGCCUGGAGAUUGAACUGCAUUACAAAAAUUACAAACAUCUGACCAAGGACCACAGUUUAGGGCACAUUACGUACACAACAUUCUGCAACUUUUAUCAAUAAUCAACAUUUGACUCUUUCAUCAUUCUCUACCAUCCCUCAAGUAUCUCACUUUCACCUGGACUCUAACACUAUCCCUCAAGCUGUUGUAGCCAGGCACCACUCCAUCAGCAUGCCUCUGCCUCAGCUCCUGCAGCUCCGGCCCCAGCUUCUCCACCUCCACCACACGCAAGAUGGUGAUUGUCACAGAGGAAAUGGGGGACGGCAAGGUGUAGGCAACGGGUUAACACCAUUGAAAUAUAAUUAGUAGAAUGGGUAUAGGAAAUGAGAGGCCAUCACAUGGAAUAUUGCUGCUCCCCAGUGCUUUGUUCAUGCAACCUAAAAUACAUUUCAACUUAUACAAAGGGAAUAUUCACCUGAAACGACGAUCUUCAUUAUCUUUGUUAUUUGUUAAGGGCAGCUCUGUUUAACUCUAGUAUGGGGUGUCCAUACCAUCCUCCUAUUCUUUCUGGAAUGGCUCAAGCCCCUCAGACACCAAUCAUGGAACAUUGACUUCAAUGGGUUUUCUUUUCUGGUAAUUCUAUUUCUAUGGUUAACACCUCCAGAAAAACAUAUUCUACUACAUCUGGAUGGAACUCCAACAACAGACCCCAUUGUGAAUACAAUAAAGAGGCUCUGACUUGCUG